rnacentral:rRNA from 1 species
UACAGAGGGUGCAAGCGUUAAUCGGAAUUACUGGGCGUAAAGCGUGCGCAGGCGGCUUUGUAAGUCUGUCGUGAAAUCCCCGGGCUCAACCUGGGAAUUGCGAUGGAGACUGCAAGGCUAGAAUCUGGCAGAGGGGGGUAGAAUUCCACGUGUGAGCAGUGAAAUGCGUAGAGAUGUGGAGGAACACCGAUGGCGAAGGCAGCCCCCUGGGUCAAGAUUGACGCUCAUGCACGAAAGCGUGGGGAGCAAACAGG